CAAGCCCACCCAUGAACAGAGGGCAUUUGCAUCUAUUGAAAAAGAACUCUAAUAUCAUUUAUUGGUAAAAUGAAUGACUGGACCGCAUCGAAACAUAUCGUUAACUAAAAAGAUCAAUUUGAUAUUUUUUAAAGUAUAGAGGUGUAAAUGAAAUUGAACUAAAAUUGAAGGAGUGUUUCUAUAAUUUUUUUUUAAAUUUUAAUAUAUAGUAAGUAGAUAG
rnacentral:lncRNA from 1 species